GUGCCAGCCGCCGCGGUAAUACGGAGGAUGCAAGCGUUAUCCGGAAUCAUUGGGUUUAAAGGGUCCGUAGGCGGGUAAAUAAGUCAGUGGUGAAAGUCUGUCGCUUAACGAUAGAAUUGCCAUUGAUACUGUUUAUCUAGAGUUAUUAUGAAGUGGUUAGAAUGGGUAGUGUAGCGGUGAAAUGCAUAGAUAUUACUCAGAAUACCGAUUGCGAAGGCAGAUCACUAAUAAUAUACUGACGCUGAUGGACGAAAGCGUAGGUAGCGAACAGGAUUAGAUACCCUGGUAGUCUACGCAGUAAACGAUGGUCACUAGCUGUUCGGAUCGAUUAAGAUUUGAGUGGUUAAGCGAAAGUGAUAAGUGACCCACCUGGGGAGUACGUUCGCAAGAAUGAA
rnacentral:rRNA from 1 species